GCGCCCGUAGCCCAGUUGGAUAGAGCGUUUGGCUACGAACCAAAAGGUCGGGAGUUCGAAUCUCUCCGGGCGCG
rnacentral:tRNA from 2 species